GCGGGGCGCAUGCUCACACGCGCUCGUGACGUGCGCGCGGGGACCGGCCUGCCGGAGGCCGGGCCGAGACGGCGGCGGGCGGAGACCGGGAGCAGAGCAGAGCAGGGCAGAGCCGCGGAGCGGAGAGGAGGAGCAGAGCAGCAGAGCAGCGGCGGGAGCGCCGGCCGCCGCGCCCCCGAGCCCGCAGCCCCACCGCCCGGGCCUCGGCACGCGGGCUCCGGUCGCCGAGCGGCCACCCCCGAGCCGGCCGCCGCGGGCCGGGCCGGGCAUGAGCGCUGAGGGGCCGCGGCCGCCCCCCGCACCGCUCGGCGCGCCGAGGCCGUGACCGGGGCGGGGCGCGCGGCCGCACUCGGGCCCGGGCCCAUGGGCGCGCCGAGCCCGGCUCGGGGGCGCUGAGCGGGCGGGCGCGGCCGGAGGAGCCAUGGACUGCAGCCUCGUGCGGACGCUCGUGCACAGAUACUGCGCCGGGGAGGAGGAAUGCGUGGACAGCCGGACCGUGUACGUGGGCCACCGCGAGCCGCCGCCGGGCGCUGAGGCCUACAUCCCGCAGAGGUGCCCGGACAACAGGAUCGUCUCCUCCAAGUACACAUUUUGGAACUUCAUACCCAAGAACUUAUUUGAACAAUUCAGAAGAAUAGCCAACUUUUAUUUUCUUAUCAUAUUUCUGGUACAGCUGAUCAUCGACACGCCCACGAGUCCAGUGACGAGUGGCCUCCCGCUGUUCUUCGUCAUUACUGUCACAGCUAUCAAGCAGGGCUACGAGGACUGGCUGCGCCACAAGGCCGACAGCGCCGUGAACCAGUGCCCCGUGCACUUCGUCCAGCACGGCCGGCUGGUGCGGAAGCAGAGCCGGAAGCUCAGGGUCGGGGACAUCGUCAUGGUCAAGGAGGACGAGACCUUCCCCUGUGACCUGAUCUUCCUAUCCAGCAGCCGCGUGGACGGGACCUGCCACGUGACCACCGCCAGCCUGGACGGAGAGUCCAGCCACAAGACCCAUUAUGCAGUUCAAGACACAAAGGGGUUUCAUACGGAGGAAGAUGUAGAUUCUCUCCACGCCACCAUCGAGUGUGAGCAGCCCCAGCCCGACCUCUACAGGUUCGUCGGCCGCAUAAAUGUUUACAGCGAUCUGAAUGACCCCGUGGUGAGGCCAUUAGGAUCGGAAAACUUGCUUCUUAGAGGAGCCACGCUAAAGAACACUGAGAAAAUCUUCGGUGUUGCUAUUUACACGGGCAUGGAAACCAAGAUGGCGCUGAAUUAUCAGUCAAAAUCCCAGAAGCGAUCUGCUGUCGAAAAAUCAAUGAAUGUAUUCCUCAUCGUGUACCUCUGCAUCCUAAUCAGCAAAGCGCUGAUUAAUACCGUCAUGAAGUACGUGUGGCAGAGCGAGCCGUUCCGAGAUGAGCCAUGGUACAACCAGAAGACAGAGGCAGAAAGACAGAGGAACCUGUUUCUCAGAGCCUUCACGGACUUCCUGGCCUUCAUGGUUCUCUUCAACUACAUCAUCCCCGUGUCCAUGUACGUCACCGUGGAGAUGCAGAAGUUCCUCGGCUCCUAUUUCAUCACCUGGGACGAAGAAAUGUUUGACGAGGAAACGGGAGAAGGGCCUCUGGUUAACACCUCGGAUUUAAACGAAGAGCUAGGACAGGUGGAGUACGUGUUCACGGACAAGACGGGCACCCUCACCGAGAACAACAUGGAGUUCAAGGAGUGCUGUGUGGAGGGCCACGUGUACGUGCCGCACGCCAUCUGCAACGGGCAGGUGCUCCCCGCCGCCGCCGCCAUCGACAUGAUCGACGCCUCCCCGGGCGCCGGCGGGCGGGAGCGGGAAGAGCUGUUUUUCCGGGCCAUCUGCCUGUGCCACACCAUCCAGGUGAAGGACGGCGACGAGGCGGACGGGCCCAGGAAGUCGCCGGACUCAGGAAGGCGCUGCGUGUACAUCUCAGCCUCGCCUGACGAGGUGGCUCUGGUCGAAGGCGUUCAGAGAUUGGGCUUCACGUACCUGAGGCUGAAGGACAAUUACAUGGAGCUGCAAAACAGGGGCAAUGACAUUGAGAGGUUUGAAUUGCUGGAAAUUUUGAGCUUUGACUCAGUAAGAAGGAGAAUGAGUGUAAUUGUCAAAUCUGCUACAGGAGAAAUUUAUCUGUUUUGCAAAGGAGCAGAUUCUUCAAUAUUUCCCCGAGUGAUAGAAGGCAAGGUGGACCAGAUCCGAUCCAGAGUGGAGCGCAACGCAGUGGAGGGGCUUCGGACCUUGUGCGUUGCCUACAAAAGGCUCAUCCAAGAAGAAUAUGAAGGCGUCUGUGAGCUGCUGCAGGCUGCCAAAGUGGCACUUCAAGAUCGGGAAAGGAAGUUAGCAGAAGCCUAUGAGCAAAUAGAGAAAGACCUUAUCCUGCUCGGUGCUACGGCCGUGGAGGAUCGGCUGCAGGAGAAGGCGGCCGACACCAUCGAGGCCCUGCAGAAGGCGGGCAUCAAGGUGUGGGUGCUCACGGGUGACAAGAUGGAGACAGCAGCCGCCGCCUGCUACGCCUGCAAGCUCUUCCGCAGGAAUACGCAGCUGCUCGAGGUCACCACCAAGAGGCUGGAGGAGCAGAGUCUGCACGACGUGCUCUUCGAGCUGAGCAAGACCAUCCUGCACUGCGGCGCCAGCCUGACCCGCGACAACUUCUCAGGACUCUCAGCCGACGCGCAGGACUACGGUUUAAUUAUUGAUGGUGCCGCGCUGUCCUUGAUAAUGAAGCCACGUGAGGACGGGAGCUCCAGCAGCUACCGGGAGCUCUUCCUGGACAUCUGCCGGAACUGCAGCGCCGUGCUCUGCUGCCGGAUGGCGCCCCUGCAGAAGGCCCAGAUUGUUAAGUUAAUCAAAUUUUCAAAAGAGCGCCCUAUCACUUUAGCGAUUGGUGACGGCGCCAAUGACGUCAGCAUGAUCCUAGAGGCCCACGUGGGCAUAGGCAUCGUUGGGAAGGAAGGUCGCCAGGCUGCCAGGAACAGUGACUACGCGAUACCGAAAUUUAAGCAUUUAAAGAAGAUGCUGCUUGUUCACGGGCACUUUUACUACAUUCGAAUAUCGGAGCUUGUGCAGUACUUCUUUUAUAAGAAUGUCUGCUUCAUUUUCCCUCAGUUUUUAUACCAGUUCUUCUGUGGGUUUUCACAACAGACCCUGUACGACACUGCCUACCUGACGCUGUACAACAUCAGCUUCACCUCCCUCCCCAUCCUGCUGUAUAGCCUGAUGGAGCAGCACGUCGCCAUGGACACGCUCAAGAGGGACCCUGCCCUCUACAGAGACAUCGCCAAGAAUGCUCUCCUCCGCUGGCGGGUGUUCAUUUACUGGACGUUCUUAGGCGUGUUCGAUGCUCUGGUGUUUUUCUUCGGUGCUUACUUCAUGUUUGAAAACACAACCGUGACCAGCAACGGACAGAUGUUUGGGAACUGGACCUUCGGGACGCUGGUAUUCACGGUGAUGGUGUUUACGGUCACCCUGAAGCUGGCGCUGGACACCCACUACUGGACUUGGAUAAACCACGUUGUGAUCUGGGGGUCGCUGCUGUUCUACGUCGUCUUCUCCCUCCUCUGGGGAGGGAUUAUCUGGCCGUUCCUCAAUUAUCAAAGGAUGUACUAUGUGUUCAUACAAAUGCUGUCCAGCGGCCCCGCCUGGCUGGCCAUCGUCCUGCUCGUCGUCGUCAGCCUCCUUCCCGACGUCCUCAAGAAAGUGCUAUGCCAGCAGCUGUGGCCCAGCGCCACCGAGAAAGUCCAGAGGAGCUCGAGCCGCCGAGCCCCGGCCGACGCCACGCCAAGCCCUGACCGGCCUCUCCUGAUGGACCCCGAGCCGCGGCCGAGGCGCGAGUAGCUGGCGGAUAGGUAACGGCCACCCGCGGGCAGCCCGGUGUGCUGUGCUCUUGCUGACUGCGCGGUUUUCCUCCAAAGUUUUGCGUGCUGUGCUGUGUCUGUUAGGUUCACGGUGACAAAGAAAGGCUUUUACACACGUGGGUUCCAUCCCAGACCGCGUGCUUGGUGUCAGGACCACCUCUCGGGAGUCACCCACUUGCCUCUCUGUAGACCCCAGCCCUGGGCAGCGCCCUGGGAGGGCGGGGGGCGCCAGGCCCCCUCCUGCUCGGCCUCUCCCAACCCCCGCGUCCCCACCCGGCUAGAGACCCUGCUCCCGUGGCCCGAGGGGAGACCGGAUGCACGGAUCACGGGUCCAGCCGCUAAGAGCCGCGCGGUGAAGGGGACAGGACAGGCGUCCCCGGGCGGCGACCAGGCAGGACGCACGCGAGCCCUCGGUGCACCCGGUGGGAGCCGGAGGACGUCUGCGGGGGAUCGCGGUCCCCCCCGGGUGAGGCCGCACCACGACCUCCUGGGAAGCGCAGCUGAGCCUUGCAGGCGGCGUCGGGUCUGGCCCCUCCUCCCGGGCCCCAAAACCUCUGCUUUCGGAACCAGCCCACGGACAUCCCAGGACCGGCACACCUCCCUCCCGUCCGUCCGCUGCUGUCGCCGGGACCUGCAGUAGCGAGGCUGACCGCGGACGUGUCUGGUCCCACGUCCCUUCCUCCGAGGGGCUGGGGCCUGUGUGCUUCGGGCACCGCCUUCUGCCUCCCCCCAGCUGCCUCUGCGAAGAGGGGAACCGGUCCAGUAAAGCUUCCGGCACAGGUUCUGGGCGAUUCAUCGUCCUGCUCCCGAGGACACGGCUCACCGGGGUGCCCUCACUGCGAAAUGCCCGUUUUGGGGUUGAGGGGAGGGGUGGGGCCUGGGUGCCCGAGGCCGGCCUCUGGUUGUGGUGCUCAGGCCCCCAUCAAGAGCGGUCGGUCUCCCGGGCGGUGUUGUCCCCCAGAUCUGUGUUAGGCCCACAGGGCUGACAAGGUGGCCUGGGCGACCUGAAAAGCAAUAUCGCUGCCCUCGCCGCCACCGCACUGGCUCUGACCGAACCCUGCUCUGCCGGGGGUCCUAUCCGUGUCUCCUUGGGGGGGGUGAACCGUCAGAAGGCAGCUGUGCUGUAAACUCCCUGUCACUUUCCUGUACCAGUAUCUUAUUUCUAGAAAUAACCCGUUCGACAUAGCCUUAAUAGUCCGUAAAGAAGACAUUUCAGUUUGAGAUUCAAACUUCAGAGGGUAAAACCAAUGGCUUUUUAGGAAGGGGUCACCCAGAAGCUAACCAUUGCCCCCGCUGGAUGCAUGGGUGGGAUUUAGGGAUGUUGGUUGGGGAGUGAACACUGAGUCUACUUCCGAGAUGCUUGACGUUAGGGAUUUCAGGAAGUUCAAAUUUCAGUUUGUACAAUGUUCACCUAUAAACUACUUGUUUAAACGAGGGGAUGAGUUAACAGCAAGAACAAGGGUACACAGGUAGUCGGGGUGAAGCAGGUGAAGUAUAAACAUACCAAAGACUAGGAUGGUGGAUGUGGGGCUUCCAGUGGGACGGGGGUGGGAGGGCGUGUCUGUCUGAGGGCCCUCCAGCCUCCGCCCUGCCCUCUGUCACCCACGCUCCACGUCCGGUGUGUGGUCCACACUAGACCCUGCAAACAACGGUGUGUGCAUUUUUACAGUCGUUUUUAAGAACCUAAAAUGGGUAUAAAUGUAAUACGUGUGGGGGACAGAUUCUCUGUACGUUUAGUUAACAAAUUGUUUGUAAUGUAUUUUUUUAGAAAUCUUAAAAUUCCCUUUGCACUGAAGUAUUUUCAUAGCUGUUUAUAAUCUCUUUUCUUCAUUUAUUUGUUAAUGUAUCAUAUCUAAUUUUUAAAGUAUGUUUUUAAAGCUUUUAUUUUUUAAGUUGAUGACAUUUUGGCCACUUUACAUUUGAAUUCUGAUGAACAUUUUGGCUGAAUGUCUCAAUAUCUGAUGAAUGUGAAUUUUCAGGUUUGAUUUUAUUCUCUACACCUGUUUAUUUUUGGUGUUUCUGGCGGUAGUGAGUAGCUAAAAGGCAUAUUUAGAGUAUGAUAAUUUGCUAUGCUCUUUCUUCACAGUUCAUUGCCAUUUCAUCUGCUUUUUAUUUGGUUUUUAAUUUCUAUCCUUCAGCCUUAAAAUAGAAGCUUCUUGACGGUUCUGUGUCCUCUUUUUGCCUGUAUUGAGACGGUUACCAUUUACCUCGGAUAAGUCAAGUCUCCUUAUGAAAGUUACUGACCUUUACAUGCUUCAAAAAGUCUUUUUAAAAUUGUUUGGGAAAUUAUUAAGUGACUGUGCCUGAUAAUUUGAAAUAGGCGAGGGGCAUGAGAUCAAAAGUAAAGUCAAAGGAGGGACAGGAGAACCCACCGAAGUGACAUUUCAGACAAGACAGUGAGAUUCCCACCUGACAGUGGGCAGUACUUACUUGCCUUACACUAACCUUAAAGCAAGUAAUUUAAGCAUUUUCCUUAGUUUUGAAAAUCUUACAGCUGCACGUUAAUCACUUAUUAACAUUUCCCCCGUUGGUCCAGAUGUCUGGUUCCUGACCCACACGCCAUCCCCCAAAGCAAGCUGUCUGUAUGUAGGCCGUGUUGCUCCGGCCACCUCCGUUCUCCUGCUUUCAGCUCCCGGCCACCCGAGGCCGCAGGUGCACACACAUCCCACGUCCUAAGGGGACCCUGCGGGGGCCUCUGAGCCCCACCCUCAGGACAGGUGGCUGCCAGCAGCCCUCGGACCCUCCCAGCUGCAGCGGCCCUGUGUCCGGAGCUGGGAGUAAAGACCCUCUCUUGGCAACUCCUGUUAGAACCCAAAUCAGCCCAUUCCUGUGCCCUUGGUUCCAUGGGGUGAACGCAGACCAAAUGACCCGCGCCCCCCUCCCCCGGGGGGGGGCCGUGGCCCCGUGAGACCCACUGGUGGCAGUGCCGGGCCGCGGGAGGAGCCCAGAAACACCACCUUCUGCAGUAACAGGUUUAUAGAAGCAUAGUUCGGCCUGGUGAGAUUUUGCAGCUUUAACUACAGAACUGCCUUGCACAUGCUGUGUAACUAUUCUUAAGUUCAUGGGCAUCAACCAAAAGUUCAGGGCAACCUAAGGGAAGUUUCCGGCCUUUUUCUUUAAAACCACUAAGUUCAUCUGUUUUGCACUAUUAAUAACGUAAUACAACCACUUCUGCUUUAUCUUUAAAUUAAUGGUAUUUAUUUGACAACUCAGUGUAACAGCUUGCUAUGCACUUUCUUUUGGAAGUUUCCCAUUUGUAACUUUAAAAACAGGAAAAAUGUCAGCUGGCAAAUGCAUUCUUUUUUUCCUUUUUUUUUUUUUUUUUUUUUUUUUAGUUAGAGGGUAGGUGAAUGGGGGUGAGAAUCAUUCUGAUUGUGUAUAAACAAAGCUUUAAUGAAGAUGUGUCAGAGAUCCUACUUUUGCAGAAAAAAAUCUGAAGAUCAGUUUAUAUAGCUUUAUUUUUUACCUUAUCGAAAUAUACAGAAUUUUAAUAUGCGUAUAUUGUCUCUGACUUAAAGUUAUAAUGUGUGUCUGCAUUGCUGUUUAAAAUGUCCAUUCAUUAUGUAAUGUAAUAAAAGAAUCUUCAAAAAUGUAUUUAACACGAAUGUUAUCUCUAGGUGUUGUCAUCGUAAAUACUGGAAUUUAUUUUUAAAUUAUUGAAUAUAGUAGGUGCGUUUAAGGUAAUAAAUCAGCCUCCAAACAGUAAUGUUUAAUUGAUAAUUAUUUAUUAACCUGCUUUGAAAAAUUAAAUUGUGAAUUAAACCAAAUCUUAAAUUUCUGUAGAAUUUAUUUUGUAUGCUACUGUUCUUAACUUUUAUUUCUGUAGAUAAAGUAUAUCUUCAUAAUACGAAUUAUGAUUGGACUUUUCUGCAGAUUAUCUAAGCAGGAGACCUGA